ACGUAGGAGGCAAGCGUUGUCCGGAUUUACUGGGUGUAAAGGGUCCGCAGGCGGGCAUCUAAGUCGGUGGUGAAAUCCUUCAGCUUAACUGAAGAACUGCCUCCGAAACUUGAUGUCUUGAAGACGGGAGAGGGAAACGGAAUUCCUGGUGUAGCGGUCAAAUGCGGAGAUAGCAAGAGGAACAGCGAAGGCGAAGGCAGCUUACUGACGGAUACCUGACGCUCAUGCGCGAAGGCGAGUGGAGCAAACAG
rnacentral:rRNA from 1 species